AACGUAGGUGGCGAGCGUUAUCCGGAUUUACUGGGCGUAAAGGGCGUGCAGGCGGUUUGUUAAGUCUAGGGUGAAAGCUCCCGGCUCAACUGGGAGAGGUCCUUGGAUACUGGCAGACUUGAGGAGGGUAGAGGAGAGUGGAAUUCCCGGUGUAGUGGUGAUAUGCGUAGAUAUCGGGAGGAACACCAGUGGCGAAGGCGGCUCUCUGGGCCCUACCUGACGCUGAGACGCGAAAGCGUGGGGAGCGAACCGG
rnacentral:rRNA from 1 species